AUUUAUUUGAACAGUUGAGGAGGCCUUCAGAAGUGCGUUCCCUUCCUUCUUUCCUGUGUUUUAGCUUUGAUAUUGUCCCACUAUUAUUAUUAUUUUUUUUAAAGCAUCUUCUCUUUUGUAUGGAAUCUGAGUAAAUUCACAGUGGAAACUACCUUGUACUGAUCUUUCUGUCUCUUAGGCAGUAGGCAGAUAAGCAUUAAUCAAGAAAUAUACACAUACAUUUAUUGAAUAGAGUUUCUGGAAUCACUGUAUUAUAUCUGCCCCAGGGUAAAAAAGACAGUAAGUUGGAAAAGACUAGAUGGUUGAAAGCAAGACAGUUUUGUAACUCUACAUCCUGUCUUCUGGUGUACUCUUGACCACCGUCUUUAUGCCACUCAUACUCUUCCAGCAGUCAUGGCAACUGAUACCUUAAUUCGUUCUGUUAUUACUGACUAGUCUCUCAAAUUUUCAUAGAGGAAUCCUCCAGAUGCUGUUCUCUGUAAAUAUAUGUGAGUCAUAUUUAACAUUUUCUUAUACUUUGCUGCUCAAAUUCCUGUAAAUUCUGACAAGAAUUUUCAAUGACUGCUAAAGAUCUGUGCACAUGGUCCUUCAUUUUCACAAAGCCAAUAAAUAUCUGUAACUUGAGAGGUUAUACACCUUACUAAAAGUCAUACAGGCAGGAAAAGGGAUGACAAAUGGUAAGGUUGCGUCCACAUGACCACCUAAAAUUUGUCAUCUUCCUUUUUGCAAAAACAAACAUGACUAAAUUAAACAACAAAUUAAGAUUAUUAUGCUGACAUGCAUGGAACCUUGGAUCAUUAUUAUGAUUUUUCAUUACCCAGAAACACAUAGAAAAUGAUAAGGAAUGUAUCUGGAAUAUAGUACACACUGGUUGGGGUUGUAGCCUUCAGUCAAAUGACUCUGAAUUUUAGUUUGGCACUGCCAUUCCCUUGACUUGGAUUAUACCCACUCCUACCUUAUCUCUGGUUGUGUGGUUUCAGUGAAAUUACCAUGCAGCUGGUAGAUAACAUCUUGGAAGACAUCCUGAGAACAGUUCUCCCAACGUUGCUUGUUAACUUAAAAAAAGAGAGAGAGAGAUUAGAAAUGUCUGUAAUGAAGACUUAUUUUCUAAAACCUGACCUUAUAUCGUCCACCUUUAAAUGGAAGAGAUGUGUUUUCUCACAUCUUUUAGAUAUAAUUCACAUAGUAUAAAAAUUCGCCAUUUUAAAAAGUGUAAAAUUUGUGGUUAUAGUAUAUUCACAGAGUUGUGAAAUUGUCUUUAUAAAAUUCCAGAGCAUUUCAUCGCUGUAAAAAGUUUUCUGUACCCAUUAAGAGUGACUGCCUGUUCUUAACUCCAACCCCUGGCAACUACUCGUCUUCGUAUGCCUAUGAAUUUGCCUAUUUUGGUCAUUUCAUGUUAAUGGAGUCAUACAAUUAUGUGGCCUUUUUGUCUGUUUCGCCACCUUCCACAAAGCAAUGAGUUCAAACUGCAUCAAUGUUGUAGCAUGUACUGGUACUGUUUCUUUUGUGGCUGAAUAUUGUCAUUGUAUUGAUAUGCUGUAUUUUUUUGCUUGUCCACUUGGUUGUGCAUACAUGUGUUCUUUCUGCUUUUUGCAUAUUAUGAAUACAACUAUGAACACUUUGUGUACAUGUUUUCAUUUCUCCUACUGUCUUUUAAGUAUCUUAUGGUUUUGGUUCUUAAAUUUAGGUCUUUGAUUCAUUUUUGCAUGUGGUACAUUUUAGGGAUCCAGUUUCAUUCUCUAAUAUGUGGAUAUCUAGUAGAACAAUACCUAAUUGUUACAAAGACUAUUAGUAAUUUCCUUAUGAGUAGGCUUGCUAUCUUUGUCAAAAACACGUACAAAUGACCAUAAAUAUGGCUAAUUUUGGAUUCUUGAACUUUGUCCCAUUGUCCUAUGUGUGUCUCUUCCUAUGCCAGUACCAUACUGUCUUAAUUACUGUAGCCCUAGAGUAAGUUUUGAAUUUAGGAUGUGUUAGUUCUCUAGCUUUGUUCUACAUCAAGAUAAUUUUACCUGUUCUGGGUCCCUUGCAUUCCACAUGGAUUUUAGAAUCUAUUUGUUAAUUUCUACAUAAAAAGCACCUGUGAUUUUGAUUGUUCUUGUGUUGAAUCGAUACAUCAGAUUGACGUAUGUUGGUAUUUUAACAGUAUUAAAUUUUAUAAUCCAUAAAUAUGGAGUGUCUUUCCAUUUAUUUAGGUGUGUAAUUUCUUUCAAUGCUAUUUUAUAGAUUUCAGUGUAUACAUCUUGGCUUUUUUGAGUUAAAUGUUUUUCACUUGAUCCUUUUACAAACAACUUUUUUUUUAAUAUUUGUUUGGAUUACUCAUUGCUACAUCUAGAAAGAAUUCAUUUUUAUGUAUUAACCUUAUAUACUGUAGCUAUUCUGAGCUGAUUCUGUUUUUAAUUUUUUAUACAAGAUUGUGCAUCUCUGAAUAUAAAUACUUUUGUUUCCUCUCCAAUCUGGAUUCUUUUUAUUUGAUUUCCCUGCCUAAGUGCCCUGGCUAGCACGUCCAAUAUGAUAUUAAAUUGAAGUGGCAAGAGUGUACAUCUUUUUCUUGUUUCUGAUUGUAGUGGAAAAGCAUUAGGUCUUUCACCAUUAAAUAUGAUGUUAGCUGUGGGAUUUUCAUAGAUGUUGCAAGUUGAGAAAUAUUCCAUCUAUUCCUACCUUACUGAGUCUUUUUUUAAAUCAAGAAAAGGGUUUUGAAUUUUGUCAAAUGCUUCUUCUGUAUCUAAUAAGGUUGUCAUGUAGUUUUGUCCUUUAUUCUAUUGAUAUGUUGUAUUACAUUGAUGGAAUUUUGUAUUGAAAGAACCUUGCAUUCCUGGAAUUACCCCACUUGUCUAUGCUACAUAAACCAUUUUCUAUGCUGCUGG
rnacentral:lncRNA from 1 species